rnacentral:lncRNA from 1 species
UUAUUGUUCACUGCCAACUUUACAUGCAGGUCACGUAAUGAUCUUGAAAAAGGCAAGGAUAUUCCUGUCGAAACGUCGAUUAAAUGAUAUGACAUAACAUCAUAGCCAUCUCUUUUUCUUUGUGAACCUAAGCCCAAGAAACCCAAA